rnacentral:rRNA from 1 species
AUGGAUGCGGCGUUCUCGAGGGGCGAGGAGUUCAUGAGAAGUCGUAGAACCAGUAGAGGAAGGCGACGGAGAAGGAGUGGGAGCGGCAGCGAACGCGCAGCUUCAUCGGGGGGCGGCGGCCGUCAGAGGAAGGGGAAGGUAAACAUGGGUGGUGCGGGGAGGCUCUCUAGAUCGGAUCUGCGACGAACUCCUCCCAAGACCAAGGAGUCGAGGCUAGAAUGUGACAGAGCUCAGGGGCUUAUUUGCAACGGAACAGGGAGUAGACUGCAAGGAAAAAAGAAGCUACAAGGACUGAAAGGAAAGGAGAGCAGGACUUAG